rnacentral:rRNA from 1 species
AGCGAACGCUGGCGGCAGGCCUAACACAUGCAAGUCGAACGGACCCUUCGGGGUUAGUGGCGGACGGGUGAGUAACACGUGGGAACGUGCCUUUAGGUUCGGAAUAGCUCCUGGAAACGGGUGGUAAUGCCGAAUGUGCCCUUCGGGGGAAAGAUUUAUCGCCUUUAGAGCGGCCCGCGUCUGAUUAGCUAGUUGGUGAGGUAAUGGCUCACCAAGGCGACGAUCAGUAGCUGGUCUGAGAGGAUGACCAGCCACAUUGGGACUGAGACACGGGCCAAACUCCUAGGGGGGGCAGCAGUGGGGAAUCUUGCGCAAGGGGCGAAAGCCUGACGCAGCCAUGCCGCGUGAAUGAUGAAGGUCAUAGGAUUGUAAAAUUCUUUCACCGGGGACGAUAAUGACGGUACCCGGAGAAGAAGCCCCGGCUAACUUCGUGCCAGCCGCCGCCGUAAGAC